CCUGAACUCUAGGCAUAAGGCACUUAUAAAUAUAUCCCUCAUUCCCACCAUUCUCUCCCUUGUCUGGUCUAAUAUUUAUUUUUCCAUAGCAGGUAUUUUCUAGCAAAUUGUAUACUUUACUUAUUUAUUAUUUGUUGCCUAUUUCUGCCUACUACAAUGUAAGUUCCCCUAGAGUAGGAAUUUCUGUUGUUGAGGCACUAAUACUUCCUUCAUUUCUACAGUAGUGCCAGGCACACGGGGGCUCUACAAAGAUUUACUGACUGAUUCAAUAAGCCUAUGGAUAAAUGCAUCUGAGAAUUUCUUUCUGGAGACGUUCCAGAAUUCGUACAGAUUUUCCAGGGUGUCUAUGACACAAAAAAGGGUAGGAACCACUGACAUGAUCACCCAUCAAAGUUUGCUGACCUCCUCUGCUUCUCGGGAGUCUGCCUGAUGAAGAUUAUGAGCUUUUUAUCUUUCUCCAGUUUGUGUCUCCCUGGAGAGCUAAUCCUGGCAGCUACUGAGCCCUUCUCUCUGAGGACUGGUGGUAAGUCUCCCUGGAUCUAGCCCUGGCUGGACUGGGUAGGGAGCUGGGAGGCUUUGGUAGAGAGUGUGGGCAGGAGCUCUGGCAGUGGGCCUGCCUCAGAGAAGCUGUAAUUUUCCUAUUCCUUCUGUGGAGACGUCUGGGAGCAGAGGCUGAAUGUGGCCACGGCCUCUUGGGCAUCCUUGGGGGAGGUAGGCAAGAUGCCCAGAGCAACAGGAGCUGCUUCCUGCUUUGCAGGCUCCACACUAGGCAAGGAGCAAGACCAGGAAAUCUUGCAGGAGCCCCAGCCCAGGAAGAACAGACGCUAGCUUGUGAUGGGAGAGAGCGAACACAGAUGAGUGGGGGGAACCUGGAAAGCAAAGAGACACAAAAGGCCAUCUGGAGGUGAUAGUGGGAGUGAAUUGGAGGUGAGUCAGCCAGCUCACAGGGCAGUUAAAAGACAAGUGGGUAAUUGUGGGUGCAGUCGGCGGGUCACACAGAAAAUGAGGAACAAGUGGUUAAUUGGGCCCACAAGCCCAGGAUCCCGCCUAUAAUUAGCAAAUUGCAGGGCUUUGAUAUUUGCUUUGGUAACAACUUGUGUAGUAAAUUGCAGGGAGGAAAACUGCACCCCCAGCCUGGGAGGUGACCCUGUGUCUAUGUUCCCUGAACCAUUCUCUUACAAACACUGGCAAGCAGCACACACAUGAAUGUACCCCAGUGAUGGGGCUAGGGCUUGCACUUUUCUGCAGGUUGACAUCAUCUUCUGAUGCUUUCUGUGUUCCUCUGUACCCCAUGCAGAAGUUUUGCCAAUCAGGGCUAAAGCUGAAACCUAGUUUGCUGGGGAUAUGCUCUCACUAUUCCUCUGCUUCCUUAAGCCAUAGUCCCUGGGGUAAGAGACUUUCUGG
rnacentral:lncRNA from 1 species